UCCCUGGUGGUCUAGCGGUUAAGAGUCUGCCUUGCAAUGCAGGGAAUGCAGGUUCAAUCCCUGGUCAGGGAA
rfam:Ovis aries breed Texel chromosome 12, whole genome shotgun sequence.